UGGGGAAUAUUGCGCAAUGGGCGAAAGCCUGAUGCAGCAACGCCGUGUGAGUGAUGAAGGCCUUCGGGUUGUAAAGCUCUGUCUUUUGGGACGAUAAUGACGGUACCAAAGGAGGAAGCCACGGCUAACUACGUGCCAGCAGCCGCGGUAAUACGUAGGUGGCAAGCGUUGUCCGGAUUUACUGGGCGUAAAGGAUGCGUAGGCGGAUUUUUAAGUGAGAUGUGAAAACCCUAAGCUUAACUUGGGGACUGCAUUUCAUACCGGAAAUCUAGAGUGCGGGAGAGGAGAAUGGAAUUCCUAGUGUAGCGGUGAAAUGCGUAGAGAUUAGGAAGAACACCAGUGGCGAAGGCGAUUCUCUGGACCGUAACUGACGCUGAGGCAUGAAAGCGUGGGUAGCAAACAGGAUUAGAUACCCUGGUAGUCCACGCCGUAAACGAUGAGUACUAGGUGUAGGAGGUAUCGACCCCUUCUGUGCCGCAGUUAACACAAUAAGUACUCCGCCUGGGAAGUACGAUCGCAAGAUUAAAACUUAAAUGAAUUGACGGGGUCAUAGCUG
rnacentral:rRNA from 1 species